GAUGAACGCUGGCGGCGUGCCUAAUACAUGCGAGUCGAGCGAACAGACGAGGAGCUUGCUCCUCUAACGUUAGCGGCGGACGGGUGAGUAACACGUGGAUAACCUACCUAUAAGACUGGGAUAACUUCGGGAAACCGGAGCUAAUACCGGAUAAUAUAUUGAACCGCAUGGUUCAAUAGUGAAAGACGGUUUUGCUGUCACUUAUAGAUGGAUCCGCGCCGCAUUAGCUAGUUGGUAAGGUAACGGCUUACCAAGGCAACGAUGCGUAGCCGACCUGAGAGAGUGAUCGGCCACACUGGAACUGAGACACGGUCCAGACUCCUACGGGAGGCAGCAGUAGGGAAUCUUCCGCAAUGGGCGAAAGCCUGACGGAGCAACGCCGCGUGAGUGAUGAAGGUCUUCGGAUCGUAAAACUCUGUUAUUAGGGAAGAACAAAUGUGUAAGUAACUAUGCACGUCUUGACGGUACCUAAUCAGAAAGCCACGGCUAACUACGUG
rnacentral:rRNA from 1 species